rnacentral:rRNA from 1 species
CGUAUCACCCAAGACAACUUUACGGAGUUGACGAUUGACGGAGCGAAGCGACGUCAAAGCGUUCAUUAAAGUCGAGUUGGCUUAGGGAUACGUUCGUUGGGUAGGGGAGCGUUCUGUAAGCCUGUGAAGGUGUGUCGUGAGGCAUGCUGGAGGUAUCAGAAGUGCGAAUGCUGACAUAAGUAACGAUAAAGCGGGUGAAAAGCCCGCUCGCCGGAAGACCAAGGGUUCCUGUCCAACGUUAAUCGGGGCAGGGUGAGUCGACCCCUAAGGCGAGGCCGAAAGGCGUAGUCGAUGGGAAACGGGUUAAUAUUCCCGUACUUGGUGUUACUGCGAAGGGGGGACGGAGAAGGCUAUGUUGGCCGGGCGACGGUUGUCCCGGUUUAAGGGUGUAGGUGUGUGUUCCAGGUAAAUCCGGUUCACUUUAACACUGAGGCGUGACGACGAGGCACUACGGUGCUGAAGCAACAAAUGCCCUGCUUCCAGGAAAAGCCUCUAAGCAUCAGGUAACACGAAAUCGUACCCCAAACCGACACAGGUGGUCAGGUAGAGAAUACCAAGGCGCUUGAGAGAACUCGGGUGAAGGAACUAGGCAAAAUGGUGCCGUAACUUCGGGAGAAGGCACGCUGACACGUAGGUGAAGUGAUUUACUCAUGGAGCUGAAGUCAGUCGAAGAUACCAGCUGGCUGCAACUGUUUAUUAAAAACACAGCACUGUGCAAACACGAGAGUGGACGUAUACGGUGUGACGCCUGCCCGGUGCCGGAAGGUUAAUUGAUGGGGUCAGCGUAAGCGAAGCUCCUGAUCGAAGCCCCGGUAAACGGCGGCCGUAACUAUAACGGUCCUAAGGUAGCGAAAUUCCUUGUCGGGUAAGUUCCGACCUGCACGAAUGGCGUAAUGAUGGCCAGGCUGUCUCCACCCGAGACUCAGUGAAAUUGAACUCGCUGUGAAGAUGCAGUGUACCCGCGGCAAGACGGAAAGACCCCGUGAACCUUUACUAUAGCUUGACACUGAACAUUGAGCCUUGAUGUGUAGGAUAGGUGGGAGGCUUUGAAGUGUGGACGCCAGUCUGCAUGGAGCCGACCUUGAAAUACCACCCUUUAAUGUUUGAUGUUCUAACGUGGACCCGUAAUCCGGGUUGCGGACAGUGUCUGGUGGGUAGUUUGACUGGGGCGGUCUCCUCCUAAAGAGUAACGGAGGAGCACGAAGGUUGGCUAAUCCUGGUCGGACAUCAGGAGGUUAGUGCAAUGGCAUAAGCCAGCUUGACUGCGAGCGUGACGGCGCGAGCAGGUGCGAAAGCAGGUCAUAGUGAUCCGGUGGUUCUGAAUGGAAGGGCCAUCGCUCAACGGAUAAAAGGUACUCCGGGGAUAACAGGCUGAUACCGCCCAAGAGUUCAUAUCGACGGCGGUGUUUGGCACCUCGAUGUCGGCUCAUCACAUCCUGGGGCUGAAGUAGGUCCCAAGGGUAUGGCUGUUCGCCAUUUAAAGUGGUACGCGAGCUGGGUUUAGAACGUCGUGAGACAGUUCGGUCCCUAUCUGCCGUGGGCGCUGGAGAACUGAGGGGGGCUGCUCCUAGUACGAGAGGACCGGAGUGGACGCAUCACUGGUGUUCGGGUUGUCAUGCCAAUGGCACUGCCCGGUAGCUAAAUGCGGAAGAGAUAAGUGCUGAAAGCAUCUAAGCACGAAACUUGCCCCGAGAUGAGUUCUCCCUGAGACUUAG